GUGAAUCAUCGAAUCUUUGAACGCACCUUGCGCCCUUUGGUAUUCCGAAGGGCAUGCCUGUUUGAGUGUCAUUAAAUUCUCAAACCUUGAUCAGUUUUGCGCUGACUUUCAAGGCUUUUGGAUGUGGGAGUCUUUGCUGGAACUCUUUUGGGUCAGCUCUCCUUAAAUGCAUUAGCGGUUACUUGAUCCCCUUUCUUUGGUGUGAUAAUUUAUCUACGCCUUUGAAAUGAUCAGCAUUGUAUCGGCUUCUAACCGUCCAUUGACUUGGACAAUUUAAUUGACCAUUUGACCUCAAAUCAGGUAGGACUACCCGCUGAACUUAAGCAUAUCAAUAAGCGGAGGA
rnacentral:misc_RNA from 1 species